UACGUAGGGUGCAAGCGUUAAUCGGAAUUACUGGGCGUAAAGCGUGCGCAGGCGGUUGUGCAAGUCAGAUGUGAAAUCCCCGGGCUUAACCUGGGAAUUGCAUUUGUGACUGCACGGCUAGAGUGUGUCAGAGGGGGGUAGAAUUCCACGUGUAGCAGUGAAAUGCGUAGAUAUGUGGAGGAAUACCGAUGGCGAAGGCAGGCUGCUGGGCAGUUUAGCUGACACUGAGGCGCGACAGCGUGGGGAGCAAACAGG
rnacentral:rRNA from 1 species